AUGUGCAUCCCCAAGGAAAAAGGGGGUAUGGGCUUCCGCGACACUCAUAAUUUCAAUUUGGCACUCCUAGCAAAAUGUUGGUGACUUAGUGAGCAUCACGACUCCUUGUGCACAAGGGUGCUCCGAUCUAAAUAUUACCCAACUAGUGAAUUACUCCAUUGUGGUCUGAAGAAGGGUGCCUCUUUUGUAUGGCAUAGCAUUUGGGCCUGA
rnacentral:rRNA from 1 species